GUGGGCGUAGCUCAGCUGGUAGAGCACUGCGUUGUGGUCGCAGGUGUCGCGGGUUCGAGCCCCGUCGCUCACC
rnacentral:tRNA from 1 species